GCAUUUAGUGUUUAUUGACCAAAGUCGAGUUUUUAUAUGGUAUGUAUGCUCCCCCCGGUGCAAGCUCUGCGGGACCACCCCCUCCGUCACCCCCAGCCAGCAGCUGUUCAUUGAGUUGGGACAGGUGAGGGGGGAUUUAGUUUUUACUGACGGAAAUAGAGUUUAUAUGGUAUCACGGCCACGGAGCUGGGCGCCCCCCGGUGCAAGCUCUGCGGGACCACCCCCUCCGUCACCCCCAGCCAGCAGCUGUUCAUUGAAUUGGGACAGGUGAGGGGGGCAUUUAGUGUUUAUUGACCAAAGUCGAGUUUUUAUAUGGUAUGUAUGCUCCCCCCGGUGCAAGCUCUGCGGGACCACCCCCUCCGUCACCCCCAGCCAGCAGCUGUUCAUUGAAUUGGGACAGGUGAGGGGGUUUUAGUGUUUAUUGACCAAAGUCGAGUUUUUAUAUGGUAUGUAUGCUCCCCCCGGUGCAAGCUCUGCGGGACCACCCCCUCCGUCACCCCCAGCCAGCAGCUGUUCAUUGAAU